rnacentral:rRNA from 1 species
GUCUAUUUGGAGAUAUAAGAAGUCUGGCCUGCUCACUGAUCAAAAUGAUUUAAGGGCCGCGGUAUUAUGACCGUGCAAAGGUAGCAUAAUCAUUAGGUUUUUAAAUGGAAUCUCGUAUGAAUGGUUGGACAAAGGAAGAAUUGUCUUUAUAUAAGAAUUUGAAUUUUACUUUUAAGUGAGAAGGCUUAAAUGUUUUAGGGGGACGAUAAGACCCUAUAAAACUUUACAUUAUAAUUAUAUUUUGUUAAAUUUUAAUGAUAAAAAUUUUAUAUAAUAAUUUGUUUUGUUGGGGAGACAGAAGUAAAAAUUAUAUUAACUAUUUAAAAAAUAAACAUAAAUUUAUGGAGAUUAAUAGAUCCUAAAUAUAGAUUAAAAGAUUAAGUUACUUUAGGGAUAACAGUGUAAUUUUUUUUAAGAGUCCAUAUCGAAAAAAAAGUUUGCAACCUCGAUGUUGAAUUAAAAUGUCUAUAUAAUGCAGCUGUUAUAUAAGAAGGUCUGUUCGACCUUUAAUUUUUUACAUGAUUUGAGUUCAAAUCGGCGUGAG